CAACGUGGGUAACCUGCCCAAGAGACUGGGAUAACACCUGGAAACAGAUGCUAAUACCGGAUAACAACACUAGACGCAUGUCUAGAGUUUAAAAGAUGGUUCUGCUAUCACUCUUGGAUGGACCUGCGGUGCAUUAGCUAGUUGGUAAGGUAACGGCUUACCAAGGCAAUGAUGCAUAGCCGAGUUGAGAGACUGAUCGGCCACAUUGGGGCUGAGACACGGCCCAAACUCCUACGGGAGGCAGCAG
rnacentral:rRNA from 1 species